GCAUUGGCAUCUGUGGCUCUCUGAGCUACUGACCCUACUCAAAGUAUCCCAGUGUUGUGCUUCUCUGCUUUGGAGGAAUGACUGGAAGUAUGGGUGCAGUGCUUCAGGGGACAGUCAGAGACUGCAGCUGCAGGCAGCUUCCAGGAAUGAGCACCUUUCCCCUGUGCCUGUAAAACCUCUCUCCUGCCUGGAUUUUGCUUUACCUUUGAAGUUGCUUUCUCCAGGUCCUGACUUGCAGAGAUUCAGACUCUUACCCUUCUUGCUAAAAGCCAACUCUUCAAUCCUUCCAUUAUCUGGCUCGUGUGAAAGUCUCAGUUGUGGAUUUCAAAGCUUCUCUGUGAACUGGAUGUGUCUGUGAUUUAACUGGGAGAUACUCAGCAGUUUCAGAAGUGAAAUUUGCUUUCUGUGUGUAGCAGAUAUUGUUACACAACCCUGAGAAAAACCCAUCACACACAUACAAAACAAACUGUGGCAACCCCCUUGGGAUAAUGAAGGUUUCUUUAUCCUCAGAUUUUGCAAACAAUCUAGGUAUUGAGUAAUCAUCUUCUAGCUGCUUUUAGAAGUAGCCCCCCCCAGGUUCACCUGCAGCCAGUGAGACAAAACCCUUUUUAUGAGGUCAUUCUUCUCUCAUUCACUUCUGUAAUGGAAAGGUUGACUCACCAGCCCCAGCCCUGGAGAGGUAGAUAGGAUAUCUACAGUGUGAUUUCACUCUUCCAGCCCUGUUAUGCCACAUAUUAGUUAGAGUUCAUUUAUUUCAUUAGUUUACUUUGUAAGGCAAUUACAUAACUGUUACCACAAUAGGACUAGAAUGGUGUUUUACAUUUACUAAAAUAACUUGGCAAAUGAUCUCUGUGCAGCAAUCUCCUAGCUAUAAUAGAAUUAUUCAAAUGUCUAUGAACAUUUUACAUGCAGUAUUAGAGUGAGUUAGAUCAAUCAAAAAUUAAUUGCAUCCAAGGCAUCAGUAUAGCCUUCUGGGAUGAGCUGGAUGCCAGUAUGUCACAAUAAAGUCAUAAUAAUUGAUGUAGCAUUGAAUCGUGCCUUUGCUUCUCCCUUAUAAUGGCAAUUUUAUUAGCUGAGCAGGCUAGGUGGAAAAAUGAAAAGAAAAGAGAAAUGAAAGUAAGUUAAAUACCAGAUAGUGGUCAUUAACUUUGAUUUAAUUCUGUGCUUAUGUGGUUUAUCAUCCUGACACUUUCUGUAUGCUUAAAAAAGCUUGUUUUGCACAAUUGCACUUCCUCUGUGCUUCCUAUUUAUAUAUAUGUAGAGAAGAAUGGAGUAUAUGGCUGAGCUUUCAAUUCAAGCUGUCAACACAAAAUAUUUCUUCUGAACUUUGAUUUGAUGACUUGGGCUGUUAACAUGAAAAGUAUCUUUCCUGAUUUUCACUGUCCAUGCUGAAAUUACCUGUUGGAUUCUAGUGACUGAGCUUUUGCCAUCAGUUACACUGGCAUGAAUAGGCUGUGUUUUUUCCUGUACCUUUGUCACUGUAUUUACUUCAGUCAGUGCCUGUCUUUGUGCAGGACUCUGUCUAAUUGUUCCUCUUAGGUGUGCACUGAGUGACUCCACACAAUUGCUGACCCCUCGAGUUAGGGGCUGCCAAUCUGAGCCAUUGAGUAAGAAGUGCUGGGAAGACUCAUCAGGAUAAGUUGAAGGAGGCUGCAAUCACAGGAGACAGACCGUGCAAUUUAUAUUCAUCAGGUAAAUGAACUACAGACGUGUAUUGUGGGUAAAACUGGUCCCAGAGUGGCCUUUUUUGCAUGGUAACAUCAUGGUGAUUUUCCAAAGGUGCAGCAUGGUGAGCUGCUGUUUUUACAGCAGCCUUUAGUACAUGUGUUGUAUCUAAUGUCUUGUGUCUUCCAUUGCUUAGACUUUAUUUUCCCCCAGCAAUCUCAUUUAUCUGUAGAAAUCUCACCUGCAGAAGUGGUCUCAUUUGACUGCUUCCAGAAAAUCCUUUUUUUCAGUCCUGACUUUGUAGCUCUUCAGAGAAUUGAAAGAUGGAGGACUACUUUUAACUUUGAGUGUUUCCAGUAAUGCAGAUUUUUGCCUUUAAAUGUCAGUGACUUGCAGCCUUGGAACAGAAGUGAAAUGCCUGGUGGGUGGCAUAAAUGGGGCAGAGAGGUUAAAUGACUUAUUUGGAUGUACUUGGGAAGUCUGUGUCAGAGUACAGUCCAGAGUAGUGUUUGGAUUUUGUAUCUAUUUCAGGUUACAGAUGAUUCUAUUAUCAACCUCCCAGUAUGAAGUUUUAGACAUAACACCUUGAUUCAUUCAUGUCCUACAAAGAACCCCACAAAAGUAAGGACUUAAUAAAUGAUAAUGUGAAAUGUAGUGUGGGAAGGUGAAUGAAUGACAUCACCAAACUGGAAGGUCAUUUUGAUGAUCCAAUGAAUUUUUUACAUUUUGGGCACUACAAAAACUGGCUUCUGUGUCUUGCAAGACUUUAUUCAGCUUUCAAGUGCAUUUAUAUAACUUUCACCCAUUAUUGUAAAAAAUUGCAAGAUAUUCUAGCUAAAUCACAGGUUCACAGGAAGAAUGCUCAUACUGAGAGGAUGAGGAGGAGAAAAGCUUUGAUUUGACACAUGGUGAUGAGAUUUUACUGAAAUAGAGUCCUUUGCAGUGCCAUAUUUGCAUAUUGCACUGUUCUCUAAAUAGAAAGGACUCUUGGGCUUGCAGCAGUUUGUAUUUUAAAUACUCUGACUUUGUUGCCUAUUCUAUAUCAGGCAUAACUAUCUGGAAGAACAGACUUAAAUGUUAAUGAAUUCAACUGCUUUAUCCUAUAUGUAUUAAUUUUAGGAGAAUUGGAAGUUGUGAGCUGAAAGGAAAGGGAGGUAAGGGAGGAAAAUAGAUGCUUUGUGUAAACCAGUUGCUUCUAAAAGUAGAGUUUUCUCUUCAGGUUAAAGUAUUAUUUCAGUGGCAGCCAAUGUGUAUAAUGCACAGAUUUUCUCCUCUAUUGCUUAAAAAUAUCAGUAAAUAAUCUAAAAUCUGAUACUGUUGAGUUUGGCAAGGUGAAGUAAAUUUAAAUUUACAGGACACAAAGCCAAACAUCUGUGAGCUGGAGCAGGUUGUGAAAAAUUGUUGCCAAUCCUGUGGUGCUGUGAGCUGGCCUGGUGCUAACUCUAAUUGCCAUUGCCUUGUGCUGCAUGGGAAAGGUCUUCCAAUGUGGAGAUGACCAAAGAAAUCUCGGCAGCUUUAAGGUCCCUGUUACUAUAGAUGUUGAAAAUGUGCUUUCCCCCUGCCAUCCCAAAUGGUUCUGUUUAAACAGUGGGAAGCAGAUUUAAUGCACUGAGGUAGGCCAGAGUAUGGAAAGCUCUCUGCAAUCCCAUUGUUUUACUUCUGCUCUGUGCUUGUUUUAGCUGUGCUGUGAGCUCUGUAUGAGCUCUGCACAUAAUUUUAUCUGUGCUGGGAUGCAGGGGUGCUCUGCACAUCAUUUUAUCUGUGCUGGGUUGCAGGGGUGCUCUGCACAUCAUUUUAUCUGUGCUGGGAUGCAGGGGUGCUGCUGGAACGUUCACUGUGGAAAUGGGCACUGGGCAGGAAGCUAGUGGCCUGUGGUGUCUGCUUGUGUGAACACAAGGACUUGAUUUAAAAGUUAUCUGAGGCUGUAUUGGUGGUACAGACAAAAUAGGAGUGGUCUCACUUAACUAGUUGUUUACACCACACACAUAAAAUGUUCAUUUCCUCACGCUCACUGGCACAAGGCACUGGGCAAUGAUAAGACUGUUAGUAUAAAUAUUUUUCUUUCAAAGCAUUUUAAUGCCCUUAAGUAAAUUGAUUUGAGAUACAGGAUUAAUCUGCAGUCUAAGCACUCAGAAGUUAGUUAGAUACUCCACUUAAAGGCAUUCUCUGACUUCUUUACAGAGGAAAUUGCAAACUGGAAGUCUAAGUCUUUUGGUUUUAGUUUGAUUUCUGGAUGUCCUCUUCUUUGAGCUGCUGAGAACAGGCAGUUGUGCUGUAGCUUUGGUUCUAGAGUGUUUUAAAGGGGAUUGUUUCAUCUCUCACUGUAGCAUAAAUCUACAGCUGAAAAGAAGCACUAAGUGAUAUAAUCACACACCUUGAUUAUAUUUUAUCUGUUUUAUCUGAUCUUUCUUCUAUUGAAAUCACCAAACUGUCUUUGAAUUACAGUGGAUUAGAAAUUGAAAAUAAAUUCUGUCUAAAAUUGUGUGUAUAUAUAGAAAUCUUAGAGAUUGAAAGUUAUCCUGUUGGUGUGCUGCUUCUUAGAAGCAAUAUUGCAAUGUUGACAGUGCAGUUUAAAUUGAGGUAUGCGUUUGUGGCAAGGAUGAGUGAGCUCCCACAUCUGUGUUUUAAACCUAAAAUAUUGACAGUAAUGUAAUCAAAGUUCUGAUUUUUUAUAGAAGGUUUCCUGAGGCUGUCUGUCAGAAACCUAUUAAAUCUGAAAAAGAAACAAAACCAUACUCUGCUAAGGCUGAUGUAAAUUAUUCAUAAAAAUCCAGAAUUCCAUUGAAUCUCUCUCUUAUUCUUGACUGAGACUAGCACAGACUUUGUGAGCUUUUCCAUGUUUCUUUCAUUGUGCUUAUUUUUCAGCAUUUAAAGAGGAGAAUGUACUGGAAGACCCUAAAGCUGUUAAUGGCUUUUUUUCUCCCCUCUCUUUCUCUGUGUGUGUGUUUAAAACCAUCCACUGGGGCUAUUCCUGCUGGGGCCUUUUCUAUUUAAAUCUUUAACUUUCCUGAUGUGAAGACUCACUUUUCUUAAUGAACUGACUUUUUAAAUGUAUGGAUUUGUUUAAAAAAAUUCAAGAGGAGCAAUCUGAAUUUUUUUUAAAAUUCUAUUACCUUAAUUCCUAGCUACAGUGUGUACUUAAUGAUGGGACUAGUGGCAUUGAUGCACAUGUCUUCUAGUUAGCUGACCCAUGACCCUUCAUGUGUUACUUUUAUUCUAGCCUGGAAUACAUUUUAACCUUCAAAGUGUCUGAUGUGCUCAUUACAGAAAAUUGUGCUAUUCUUUUAAGUUUCUCUCAAUUUUUUUAGGGAGAAGACUCCAUUUGCAGGAGUAUCUGUAAAUAAAUAAUCAAUGUUUGUAAACAGUCUUCUAUUUGCUCAGUUGUGGCUUCUAAUUUAAAAGAUAUUUCUAGCUGAAAUCCAUCUUACAGUUGGUUGCUCAUAUUAAUUCCAGAAAACGAUAAAAAAAAAAAAAUUACAUCCUGUUGGGUGACUCCUACUUCAUAUGGCUCUGACUUGCUGCUCAUGACCUCUCAAACACACUAAAAGGAGUGUCCACUCUAGUCACAGGCAAAGUUCUCAGAGGUUCUUUGUGCUGACAUCUCAGGUUUGUGAAGGUAGGACUGGAUGCUGACCUUUCCCAAAUUAUUAAAACCCUCCGCUGUGUUCUUUCUGUUAAAAUAGGACGUUAGUUGACUGGCCAUGAGCACACCAGCUCUGCUUCCCCUUAUUCUUACCUGUCUUGCAAAGGCCUCAAGCUUGGGACUCGUUAGUCUUAUCUUCUGUACCCUGAUGUGUGUUGACAGCAUCCCAUAUCCCCUGCAGGAAAGGGAAGCUGGAUUGGUAAUGAAUCACUGGUUUUCUUUCACAGUCAGUUAUUUAACCCAGGUGUUUCAGGGUGGGGAGAAUUCAAGGAGUGUUCAGUGACCUUCACACUCACCCUGGUUUAGUGCUGGCAGAACAGUCUGUGCUUCCAGUGGGCCCUGCCUGGUCACACCCCAGUGGUGACACAGCCACCUGAGUUUGCUGUGUGUGAUACUUUUGGACAGUCUUUCUUCUGCAGGUGGAAUGCUUUUUCUGUGUCAGGAAUGUUCCAUAUGUGUAACUGAAGAGGAUUUUUUGUUUACCUUUACUCCCUGGUCCAUUACUUUAUUUUCCUCCCUGUGCACGUGUGAAGGGAUCCCCUCAUGUCCUGUUUGUCCUGGGCAUGGCCCAAAGGGCUUUGACAGCCCCACAGACACAGCUGUGGUCACUGGUAGUGCUGCAGAGUGUGAAAUCACAAUCCUGGAGCCAGCAGAGCUUACAGCCCACUGAGGGGCACCACAUAGAGCCAAAGGAUGGGCCGUGUUCAGCUGGGUGAGGUGAAAUGAAUGCUGAAGGCAAAGCAGCAGGGCAGUGCUGGAAGCAGAAAUAAAUCUGGGGCUCCCAGCCGCGGCAUGGCUGAGCAGCUCCUGCCUCCCCCUGCCUCUGCUCUGGGCUCACACAACGCCUGCCACAGGAGCCCCUGGGCCCGGCUGUGGGAGGGUGGCCUUGCCCUCACCUGGCUCCCUGGCACCAGGGCCCUCCUGCCGCCUGUCACACAUGGCAGCCGUCAGCAGUGAGUCCCUGUCCAGAAACGUCACAGUCUCCUCCAGGUGCUGGUCCUCUCUCUCUUUCUGGGAGACAGAAGAGUGUGGGGAGUUUGCAGAACCCCUUUUAUCUAGUUUCUGUGUUUAAUGAAUUUGAGAUACACAAGUGUUUAGAAGUGUUAUAUUUAGUUUGCAAUUGGUUGCCUGACAACGCAGAUCAAUCUUGUCUUUCCCCACCAGAGAUAUGGGGAAUGCUCUUGCUAGUCUUAAGGAUACUUAUGCACUUACACUCAGAAAAGGGAUCUGUCAGCAGCAUUUUAUAGAUUUCAAUCUAGUAUUUUUUGGUUACCUUGUUAAGGUGUAGUUAUUACUUUAUUAAUAAAAAUUAAGAUUUCAAAAUGGAGCAUUCAAAUGUUGGGGAACAGCAGGUUUGCACCUGUGCUUGCCAUUACAGAACAAGGAGGGAACACUGUAGAAAAUAAAUCUACAGUUGUACAAGUGAAGGCUAUUAAAGCUUGGGAAUGUAUAGAGAGAACUGACCCUGUUCAGGGAGGUUCUGGCCUGGUGUUCCUUAACUUGAAAGCUUGAUUUAGCUUGAUUUUGAUAUUAAUUCAGUCUCUCAACAGAAUAUUGCUCUUCAUUUUCGCACACAAAUAAAACAAAGGUGAAAAAUGCUGUCUUCUGUAAAGUAUUGUAAAGCCCUUCCCCAUCAAGACAUUCAGGUCUUGUGCCAUGAACAUGCAGUGUCUGCUUGUGUGAGCACAAGGACUUGAUUUAAAAGUUAUCUGAGGCUGUAUUGGUGGUACAGACAAAAUAGGAGUGGUCUCACUUAACUUCUUAGUCUUCCAAAAGGGCACCAAGGAGCCAGGAAACUGCAGGCCUAUCAGCCUCACUCCAUCCCCAGAAAGGUGACAGAAUAGCUCCUCUUGGAUGUCAUCUCUAAGCCUGUGGAAUAACAGGAAGGGAAAACUGUGGGUGGGCUUACAGCUGUUCUGCAGGGCAAACAACUGAGUUAGCAGAAGAAGAAAUUAAUAAAAUACAAGUUUAUCCAUGGCAAGGAAGAAAGCAAGGCUGUUAACAUGGAAACUGAUAAACACAUCCGGGUUACUUGUAGUUGCCUUAGUGAGCAGUGUGCAUGCCUUCAUAUUUUGUGGUAAACACAUUUGCAAUGAAUUGUUGACAUUCAAUGCUUUGUACCAAUAAAAUACAAUAAGCUAUUGCUUUGUCCAUUGAAUAUCUUGAGCUUUUUUGAUGUAACUAAUGACUUAAGAUCACACUUUCUUAGGGGUAUAAAAACUUGAGAACAACUUGUAAUAAAGAAGAAGCCAUUGCUGUCGCUGCA